ensembl:lncRNA
UUUUUUUUAUUUUUAUUUUUUAAAUUUUUAUUUAUUUUUUGUCUUUUUAGGGCCGCACCCGAGGCAUAUGGAGGUUCCCAGGCUAGGGGUCGAAUCAGAGCUGUAGCUGCCAGCCUACACCACAGCCACAGCAACGUGGGAUCCGAGCCAAGUCUUCGACCUAUACCACAGCUCACGGCAACGCCAGAUCCUUAACCCACUGAGCGAGGUCAGGGAUUAAACCUGCAACCUCAUGGUUCCUAUCCCUGGCCUUGCUCAGUAGGUUAGGGAUCCGGCGUUGCCGUGAGCUGUGGUGUAGGUCACAGACUCAGCUUGGAUCCCACAUUGUUGUGGCUCUGGUGCAGGCCGGUGGCUACAGCUCCGAUUUGACCCCGAGUCUGGGAACCUCCAUGUGCCGCGGGAGCGGCCCUAGAAAAGGAAAAAAGACCAAAAAAAAAAAAAAAAAGAAAUAUUUUCUUGAUUUCUUAAGUCAUCUAAAACUGUCUUUUUCUUCUCCUCCUCCUCUUUCUUCCUUUUCAUUUUUAAAGGUUUGGCCUCUGGAAAACAUUCCAAGUAUAAUGGCAAAACAUCUAGUUUUCCUAUGAGCUUAUAAAAUGAAGUGGUUCUUCAGAGUAAACAAAAGAUCUUUUCAUCUAAAAUUUUAAUUGACACCAAUUCAGCUCCCUGGGAAUUAGUUCCAAUGUUUGGCUCAGGUUUCUGGCACUGAGCACUGGGCCCUGGCCUCAAGCCUGCACUCGGUCACCUUACAUCUGCACCUCAGGGCUUCUCGCCAAGAAGCUGGUCUCAUGGCAGCACUACCCUAUGGCUUAACAUCCGAAUGUUGAGCCUUGAUACCCAGCCUGACUGAAAGCAGGUCAAAUGACUGCAACUCUGUUUAGCAAACAACUUAACAGGAGUCACCUGAUGAACGAUGGUAAUACCUCUGACAUUUCUGGAAGAAAAGAGAACCGAUUUUCAUUAGUUUGUCUAGGAACAGAGAAGGGUGUUUCUUAAAGUUUCAUUUACAGCCAGAAAUGUGUGGAUUGAUAUAACCAACACAUAAAAGGGGAAACAUCUGUCACUUCUAUUUGUAGCCAUGUUUGUAGCAGCUCUUUCAGAAAGGAAGACUAGAGACCAGCUAUCCUGGUCUGGGGGCUCUAUAGUUGGGCUGUUCAAGAUGGCUGUUCUCUCGCUCUCUCUACAUCCCCUGCUCGACCUGGCCCUGCUUCAUCCACAUGACUAUCCAAUCUUCUUAAUUACAGAGCUUAAUUAGCCCUGGUAACUG